rnacentral:rRNA from 1 species
GAUGAACGCUGGCGGCGUGCUUAACACAUGCAAGUCGAACGAUGAAGCCCAGCUUGCUGGGUGGAUUAGUGGCGAACGGAUGAGUAACACGUGAGUAACCUGCCUUUCACUCUGGGAUAAGUCUGGGUAACUGGGUCUAAUACCGGAUAGGAGCGCCUACCGCAUGGUGGGUGUUGGAAAGAUUUAUCGGUUUUGGAUGGACUCGCGGCCUAUCAGCUUGUUGGUGAGGUAAUGGCUCACCAAGGCGACGACGGGUAGCCGGCCUGAGAGGGUGACCGGCCACACUGGGACUGAGACACGGCCCAGAAUCCUACGGGAGGCAGCAGUGGGGAAUAUUGCACAAUGGGCGAAAGCCUGAUGCAGCGACGCCGCGUGAGGGAUGACGGCCUUCGGGUUGUAAACCUCUUUCAGUAGGGAAGAAGCGAAAGUGACGGUACCUGCAGAAGAAGCGCCGGCUAACUACGUG